AUAGCAUUGGUUGUCUUCUCCGCUCCGUUAGAUUCCAACCAAAUAACAUUGGUUGUCUUCUCCGCUCCGUUAGAUUCCAACCAAUAGCAUUGGUUGUCUUCUCCGCUCCGUUAGAUUCCAACCAAUAGCAUUGGUUGUCUUCUCCGCUCCGUUAGAUUCCAACCAAUGGUAUUGGUUGAUUCUUGCAUGUCUAAUCUCAUCUACUAUCAUUUCAAAGGCAGUUUUAGGGUAUGUGAUAUUUGAAGAUGCAAGUUUAACAUGAAAACGCACUGGUCUAGACAUACAUUUAUAGAAGCAUAUUAUUUUAAUUAUGUUUGUUACAUUUUGUACAUACCUAUUAGUACAUUAAUGUCGUGUGCAAUGUAGACGUAAACUUAGAUAACGCUAAUAUAACCUUCGAUUUCCCGAUUGUAAUACGAUUAAAUCGUUAAUCGAUUACUAUAGUUAAUAUUGUUUAUGUAAGACGAACAGUAAACUUGUAUGUACUUAACCAAAUAUCUUCGUGAUUAUAUUUUUUCUUAGUGUUGCUUACCUUGUUUUGAAUAAUAGAAGAUUUCAGUCAAUAAAUGUUUGUUUAAACUUUUUAAGUUGAAUAACAAGUGUAGAGAUGUAAUGCAUUAUUAUAUUCCAUCGUAUUUUCACGGAAACGUACGAACGUGUUUUGCUAUUUCAGUCAAUGAUGGAACAAAAAGUACUGAGAUUGACUGAAGUAGCAUGCCAAAUACCAAUGUACGUCUGUAAGAGCAGUUGUGGCAAUGAAGAUGAUUUAGGUAUAUGUUUGAGCCAUAUCUUGCCCACAUUUUAUAAUAAUUUUAGCAAAAGCUUAUUGCUUUUACUAGCGGUUAAUAACUAAAUUUUUAACUUGGGACUGCCAUUAGAGAUAAUCUAAUAAAAAUAUUUUAAAGAUCAUACUACGAGGCACACUUGGUCCAAUAAUUUGAGGAAAAGAUUACAGAAUUAAGCGACAUUACCUAUUAGAGAAAAGGAAGUUGUGUUUCCUUGUAAAUCGUGUAAUCAGACCGCGUAGUGUAUAAUACCUACUUUUAAAUACCCCUCUUGUAAAGCGCCAUUUUCAAAAUUGUACAGAUAUUGUUCAAUACAAGAUACGCAACGCAUCAAAAUUUCACUAGGUUAAAGAGUACUAGCACUAGUUCGACCCGAUAUUUAUAAAUAUUACUUCCUCUGUCCUUUUCCUUCUUAAUACAUUGUACUAUCUUAACCUUUCCUCUCUUUCCAAAUCGGGUCAAAAAUAAAAGAUUUAUUUAUGAAAAGAGUAUAUUAUACCUUAAUAUAUUGAACUUGUAAAGAUAGACUGAUUUAGUGGUACCCAUAAAUGUUUAGAUUUAAUCUACUUUCUUUUAGAAUAAACUAUUAACUGUGUGAUUUAA